rnacentral:rRNA from 1 species
CAUAUCAAUAAGCGGAGGAAAAGAAACUAACAAGGAUUCCCCUAGUAACUGCGAGUGAAGCGGGAAAAGCUCAAAUUUAAAAUCUGUCAGUCUUUGGCUGUCCGAGUUGUAAUCUAGAGAAGUGCUAUCUGCGCUGGACCGUGUACAAGUCUCCUGGAAUGGAGCGUCAUAGAGGGUGAGAAUCCCGUCUUUGACACGGAUUGCCAGGGCUUUGUGAUACGCUCUCAAAGAGUCGAGUUGUUUGGGAAUGCAGCUCAAAAUGGGUGGUAAAUUCCAUCUAAAGCUAAAUAUUGGCGAGAGACCGAUAGCGAACAAGUACCGUGAGGGAAAGAUGAAAAGAACUUUGGAAAGAGAGUUAAACAGUACGUGAAAUUGCUGAAAGGGAAACGCUUGAAGUCAGUCGCGUUGUUCAGGGAUCAACCUUGCUUUUGCUUGGUGUACUUCCUGGUUGACGGGUCAGCAUCAAUUUUGACUAUUGGAAAAAGUUCAAAGGAAUGUGGCAUCUUCGGAUGUGUUAUAGCCUUUGGUCGCAUACAAUGGUUGGGAUUGAGGAACUCAGCACGCCGCAAGGCCGGGUUUUAACCACGUACGUGCUUAGGAUGCUGGCAUAAUGGCUUUAAUCGACCCGUCUUGAAACACGGACCAAGGAGUCUAACAUGCCUGCGAGUGUUUGGGUGGAAAACCCGAGCGCGCAAUGAAAGUGAAAGUUGAGAUCCCUGUCGUGGGGAGCAUCGACGCCCGGACCAGACCUUUUGUGACGGUUCCGCGGUAGAGCAUGUAUGUUGGGACCCGAAAGAUGGUGAACUAUGCCUGAAUAGGGUGAAGCCAGAGGAAACUCUGGUGGAGGCUCGUAGCGAUUCUGACGUGCAAAUCGAUCGUCAAAUUUGGGUAUAGGGGCGAAAGACUAAUCGAACCAUCUAGUAGCUGG